GGUAAGGUGGCCGAAUGUUAGGUGGUGGGCUGUAGUCCUAUUUACAGGGGUUUAAUUCCCUUUCUUAUCA
rnacentral:tRNA from 1 species